AAGUAUACAGAAGAACAAAAGGGAAUAUUGAGAAUUAUCUUGUCCCCCUUGAUAAUGACGGUUCUAUCAUGUUUAUCAACUGUACAAUAUAAACAUGCAAAAUAUUAUCAUACGUAAACUAAAACUUAUAAAAUUUAUUACAAGCAAACACAUGGAUAAUUAGACAAGAAAGUAAUGAUAGAAAGAUAGAAAAAAAUGUAUAUUGAAUUUCAAAAAUACCUAAGAAUUUAUCUGCCUAAAUCCUAGUUCUCACCAUAUUUUAGGUGAAUGCUAGAAUGCGGCAAAAUUACACAAGUUCUCACUACAGAAACUGGGCUUCACAACCAUCCUAGGCAUCCCCAACUCUGUCCUGGAGUUGGUUCAGGGAGUAACUGGGGCCAGUGAUGAGGAGCACAGGCCCAGAUACCAGGGUUUACUCAUCUAGACAUGAGCUCUUAAAUACACCCUUAGCCCAUUUUCCACAUGUGGUUUACUUUCACAUCCGUACAGGGAGAAACAUUGACUGCGACAAAACAUAAUUUACACAAACGUGUAAAAAUAAAAUAGGGUGAUCAGUUCAAAGUGUUUAUCACAGCAUAAUUUUAUAAGACAGCAUAUUUUCCAAAUACCAUCAUUGUCACCAAACCUCUGCAAGGCACAGUCAUCGUAUCUGGGCCCUGUCCUCUCCUCAGGCGUCCCACCCCAGAGCUUCCUAUAUAGUAGGAGACAUGCAAAUAGGGUCCUCCCUCUGCUGAUGAAAACCAGCCCAGCCCUGACUCUGCAGCUCUGGGAGAGGAGACCCAGUCUGGGAUUCCCAGGAGUUUCCACUUGGUGACCAGCACUGAACACAGACCACCAGCCAUGGAGUUGGGGCUGAGCUGGGUUUUCCUUGUUGCUCUUUUAAAAGGUGUGCAGUGUGAGGUGCAGCUGGUGGAGUCUGGGGGAGGCUUGGUCCAGCCUGGGGGUACCCUGAGACUCUCCUGUGCAGCCUCUGGAUUCACCUUCAGUAACUACUGGAUGGACUGGGUCCGCCAGGCUCCAGGGAAGGGGCUGGAGUGGGUUGGAUUUAUUAAAAACAAAGCUGAUGGUGGAACAGCAGAAUACGCCGCGUCUGUGAAAGGCAGAUUCACCAUCUCAAGAGAUGAUUCAAAGAACACACUGUAUCUGCAAAUGAACAGCCUGAAAACCGAGGACACGGCCGUGUAUUACUGUACUAGGGACACAGUGAGGCGGGGUCAGUGUGAGCCCAGACACAAACCUCCCUGCAGGGGCGCGCGGGACCACCAGGGGGCGCUCGGGACCCAUGAGGACGGGACAGGUCCCAGGAGCAGGAGCAGGGAGCGGUUUCCUUUCUACUCAACUGGAAAAGUCAGGAUUGUAUUUGCAGAACUCUGGAGUGUUCUAGCCUGUGAUAUUAUAUUACUUGUAUUUAUUAUGAAUUUAUUAUCGUUAGUAUUUAAAUUUUAA